rnacentral:rRNA from 1 species
GAUGAACGCUGGCGGUGUGCCUAACACAUGCAAGUCGAACGAAGCACUUUAAAUAGAUUUCUUCGGAAUGAAGUUUUUUGUGACUUAGUGGCGGACGGGUGAGUAACGCGUGGGUAACCUGCCCAGUACUGGGGGACAACAGUUGGAAACGACUGCUGAUACCGCAUAAGCCUACGGUGUCGCAUGACACAGUAGGAAAAAUUCCGGUGGUACUGGAUGGGCCCGCGUCUGAUUAGCUAGUUGGUAAGGUAAUGGCUUACCAAGGCGACGAUCAGUAGCCGGCUUGAGAGAGUGAACGGCCACAUUGGGACUGAGACACGGCCCAAACUCCUACGGGAGGCAGCAGUGGGGAAUAUUGCACAAUGGGGGAAACCCUGAUGCAGCAACGCCGCGUGAGUGAAGAAGUAUUUCGGUAUGUAAAGCUCUAUCAGCAGGGAAGAUAAUGACGGUACCUGACUAAGAAGCACCGGCUAAAUACGUGCCAGCAGCCGCCGUAAAAC